GACGAACGCUGGCGGCGUGCUUAACACAUGCAAGUCGCGCGGAGCGGCGCACGGGUGAGUAACGCGUGAGUAACUGGCCCCCUCUCUGGGAUAACGGUUGGAACCGACUGCUAAUACCGGAUAGUGGGGGCUGACUGCGGUCCUCUAAGCUUGUUGGUGGGGUAGUGGCCGACCAAGGCGACGACGGGUAGCCGGCCUGAGAGGGCGACCGGCCAAAUUGGGCUGGGAUACGGCCCAAACUCCUACGGGAGGCAGCAGUGGGGAAUAUUGCACAAGGGGGGAAACACUGAUGCAGCAACGCCGCGUGCGGGAUGACGGCCUUCGGGUUGUAAACCGCUUUCAGCCAUGACGCGGUAGUGGCAGAAGAAGCACCGGCUAACUACGUGCCAGCAGCCGCGGUAAUUC
rnacentral:rRNA from 1 species